CACGUAGUUAGCCGGCGCUUCUUAUCCAGCUACCGUCAACCCACCCACAGGGGACAGGCCUGCUUCACUGGCGAAAGAGGUUUACAGCCCGAAGGCCUCCAUCCCUCACGCGGCGUCGCUGCAUCAGGCUUGCGCCCAUUGUGCAAUAUUCCCCACUGCUGCCUCCCGUAGGAGUCUGGGCCGUGUCUCAGUCCCAGUGUGACCGUCCACCCUCUCAGGCCGGCUACCCGUCACCGCCUUGGUAGGCCAUCACCCCACCAACAAGCUGAUAGGCCGCGAGCCCAUCCCCCACCGAAACAAUAUCUUUCCCACACCCACCAUGCAGCAGGCGCAGAAUAUCCCGUAUUAGCCACACUUUCAUGCGGUUAUCCAGAAGAAGGGGCAGGUUACUCACGUGUUACUCACCGUUCGCCACUCAUCCACACCACCAAAAGGAAGGCGCUCACCGUUCGACUUGCAUGUGUUAAGCACGCCGCCAGCGUCUCUCUAGCACG
rnacentral:rRNA from 1 species